CCAGGAUUGAGCCCCCUUGGAGACAUGCCUAUGGUGCUACGCAUGGUUGGUGGCACCUUAUGCUUUUCCAGUUCCUAACUUGUGUGCUACCAGCAACUCCCUUCCAGAUCCACAGCAUGGGACCAACACCAAGUACACAGGAGUCUUUUGAAGAUGGAGGGGAGCAAGCUCAGCCAUUAGUAGUCCCUCCUCCUCCCGUGAGCCCCUCCCCUGGGCCCUCCCUGCUCUGCGAAGGAUCACUGAGGGAGAGUAAACCACCAUCACCCUCAGCAGCUGCUGCACCAGCAGCACCACCACCAGCAGUACUAGCAUCAGCAGCACCGGCAGGACCGGCACCAGGCAGCAGCACUAGCAGCAGCAACAGCAGCACCUGUACCUGCACCAGCAUCUGCACCUGUACCACCACCAGCAGCAGCACUAGCACCAGCAGCACCAGCAGCACCAGCAGCACCAGCACCAGGAGCAGCAGCACCUGCACCUGCAGCACCACAAGCAGCACCACAAGCAGCAGCACCAUCAGCAGCACCUGCACUGGCACCAGCAGCAUUGGCAGCACCAACAGCACUGGCAAUACCAGCAGCACCAGUAGCACCAGCACCUGCACCAACCACACCAGCAGCAGCACCUGCACUGGCAGCACCAGCACCUGCACCGGCAGCACCUGCAGCUCCAGCAGCAGCAGCACCACCAGCAGCAGCAGCAGCACCAAGUUGCAGAUGACCCUGGCAUCUUCAAUGUCACCUGUCACUAUCAUCAUGUUUCAUCUUUCAAGCAGCUACCAAAACACACGCUUUAGCAUCCACCCUCACAACAGCCUUUGGGGAAUGUGUCUUUGUUUACCCUCUCUCAUCAAAGAAGAAAUCAAGGUAAGACUAAGUCAAGAAGACCCACUCACUGGACAUCAUUUGGAAGUGAACUUGGGCAGAUGGGACAGGGGAGGUGAACAGUGGAUGUGCCCUGCUUGAAUCAAUUUAGUGUGCCAUGCUUUCCGAUCUCAUAGUGGAGGGCAGGGCUGGGGUUGUGGCUCCAUUAGUAGAAUGUUUGCCAAGCGGAAAUGAGACCCUGCUUCAGUCAGUUCUCAGAACAUAAUGAACUGGGUGUGGCUGGUACAUACACAUAGUCCCAGCCCUCAGGAGGAG
rnacentral:lncRNA from 1 species